UACGUAGGGAGCAAGCGUUUGUCCGGAAUCAUUGGGCGUAAAGCGCGCGUAGGUGGCCCCGUAAGUCCGCUGUGAAAGUCAAAGGCUCAACCUUUGAAAGCCGGUGGAUACUGUGGGACUAGAGUACGGAAGAGGCGAGUGGAAUUCCUGGUGUAGCGGUGGAAUGCGCAGAUAUCAGGAGGAACACCAAUAGCGAAGGCAGCUCGCUGGGACGUUACUGACACUGAGGCGACGAAAGCGUGGGGAGCGAACAGGAUUGAG
rnacentral:rRNA from 1 species